rnacentral:rRNA from 1 species
CCUACGGGUGGCAGCAGUGGGGAAUAUUGCGCAAUGGGCGAAAGCCUGACGCAGCGACGCCGCGUGAGGGAUGAAGGUCUUCGGAUCGUAAACCUCUGUCAGCAGGGAAGAACGGUCACUGUGCUAAUCAGCAGUGAAUUGACGGUACCUGCAAAGGAAGCACCGUCUAACUCCGUGCCAGCAGCCGCGGUAAUACGGAGGGUGCGAGCGUUAAUCGGGAUUACUGGGCGUAAAGCGCUCGUAGGCGGUAUGUCAAGUCAAGGGGGAAAUCCCCGCCCUCAACGUGGGAACUGCCUUUGAAACGGGCAAACUUGAGGGUGUGAGAGGAUAGGGGAAUUCCAGGUGUAGGAGUGAAAUCCGUAGAUAUCUGGAGGAACAUCAGUGGCGAAGGCGACUAUCUGGCACAUAACUGACGCUGAGGAGCGAAAGCGUGGGUAGCAAACAGGAAUAGAUACCCGUGUAGUC